GACGAACUCUGGCGGCGCGCCUAACACAUGCAAGUCGAACGAGCGAGAGGAGGUUUACUUUCUCAAGCGAGUGGCGAACGGGUGAGUAACGCGUGAGGAACCUGCCUCAAAGAGGGGGACAACAGUUGGAAACGACUGCUAAUACCGCAUAAGCCCACGACCCGGCAUCGGGUAGAGGGAAAAGGAGCAAUCCGCUUUGAGAUGGCCUCGCGUCCGAUUAGCUAGUUGGUGAGGUAAUGGCCCACCAAGGCGACGAUCGGUAGCCGGACUGAGAGGUUGAACGGCCACAUUGGGACUGAGACACGGCCCAGACUCCUACGGGAGGCAGCAGUGGGGAAUAUUGCACAAAUGGGGGAAACCCUGAUGCAGCGACGCCGCGUGGAGGAAGAAGGUCUUCGGAUUGUAAACUCCUGUUGUUGAGGAAGAUAAUGACGGUACUCAACAAGGAAGUGACGGCUAACUACGUGCCAGCAGCCGCGGUAAAACGUAGGUCACAAGCGUUGUCCGGAAUUACUGGGUGUAAAGGGAGCGCAGGCGGGAAGACAAGUUGGAAGUGAAAUCCAUGGGCUCAACCCAUGAACUGCUUUCAAAACUGUUUUUCUUGAGUAGUGCAGAGGUAGGCGGAAUUCCCGGUGUAGCGGUGGAAUGCGUAGAUAUCGGGAGGAACACCAGUGGCGAAGGCGGCCUACUGGGCACCAACUGACGCUGAGGCUCGAAAGUGUGGGUAGCAAACAAAAUUAGAUACCCUGGUAGUCCACACUGUAAACGAUGAUUACUAGGUGUUGGAGGAUUGACCCUUUCAGUGCCGCAGUUAACACAAUAAGUAAUCCACCUGGGGAGUACGACCGCAAGGUUGAAACUCAAAGGAAUUGACGGGGGCCCGCACAAGCAGUGGAGUAUGUGGUUUAAUUCGACGCAACGCGAAGAACCUUACCAAGUCUUGACAUCCUGCGACGCACAUAGAAAUAUGUGUUUCCUUCGGGACGCAGAGACAGGUGGUGCAUGGUUGUCGUCAGCUCGUGUCGUGAGAUGUUGGGUUAAGUCCCGCAACGAGCGCAACCCUUAUGGUCAGUUACUACGCAAGAGGACUCUGGCCAGACUGCCGUUGACAAAACGGAGGAAGGUGGGGAUGACGUCAAAUCAUCAUGCCCUUUAUGACUUGGGCUACACACGUACUACAAUGGCGUUAAACAAAGAGAAGCAAGACCGCGAGGUGGAGCAAAACUCAGAAACAACGUCCCAGUUCGGACUGCAGGCUGCAACUCGCCUGCACGAAGUCGGAAUUGCUGGUAAUCGCAGAUCAGCAUGCUGCGGUGAAUACGUUCCCGGGCCUUGCACA
rnacentral:rRNA from 1 species